rnacentral:misc_RNA from 1 species
AACCAUAGAAACCUGCGGAGUACCUGCGGAAGGAUCAUUAAUAGAGUGUAACCCCCCCUGUAAAAAAAAGGGGGUAACCUCCCGUCCUUUGCUGGUCCCCUAUUUGGGGGGUCUUUUAUUUUGACUUUGCUUCGGUGGGGUAACCCACCGGAACACCCUUAAAAAUUCUUGAUUUUAAAAAUUGUUCAGUCCGAGAUUAUAUUUUAAACAAAUUGAAAACUUUCAGCAACGGAUCUCAGA